rnacentral:rRNA from 1 species
AUUGAACGCUGGCGGCAUGCCUUACACAUGCAAGUCGAACGGCAGCACGGGAGCAAUCCUGGUGGCGAGUGGCGAACGGGUGAGUAAUAUAUCGGAACGUGCCCAGUCGUGGGGAUAACGUAGCGAAAGCUACGCUAAUACCGCAUACGAUCUAUGGAUGAAAGCGGGGGAUCGCAAGACCUCGCGCGAUUGGAGCGGCCGAUAUCAGAUUAGGUAGUUGGUGAGGUAAAGGCUCACCAAGCCGACGAUCUGUAGCUGGUCUGAGAGGACGACCAGCCACACUGGGACUGAGACACGGCCCAGACUCCUACGGGAGGCAGCAGUGGGGAAUUUUGGACAAUGGGCGCAAGCCUGAUCCAGCAAUGCCGCGUGCAGGAUGAAGGCCUCGGUUGGUUAAGUUA